rnacentral:tRNA from 1 species
CCCUGGGUAGUGCAAAAGGUUAACACACUCAGCUGCUAACUGAAAAGUUGGACAUUCGAGUCCACCUAGGGG